ACAGCAGUCGCCACGGGAAUACAGAGGGUGCGAGCGUUAAUCGGAUUUACUGGGCGUAAAGCGUGCGUAGGCGGCUUCUUAAGUCGGAUGUGAAAUCCCUGAGCUUAACUUAGGAAUUGCAUUCGAUACUGGGAAGCUAGAGUAUGGGAGAGGAUGGUAGAAUUCCAGGUGUAGCGGUGAAAUGCGUAGAGAUCUGGAGGAAUACCGAUGGCGAAGGCAGCCAUCUGGCCUAAUACUGACGCUGAGGUACGAAAGCAUGGGGAGCAAACAGGAUUAGAUACCCGCGUAGUCCCUGUCUCUUAUAC
rnacentral:rRNA from 1 species